CAGGUCUGUGAUGCCCUUAGAUGUUCUGGCCGCACGCGCGCUACAAUGAUGGAGGCAGCAAGUAAUUCACCUUGGCCGGAAGGCCCGGGUAAUCUUGUGAAACUUUAUCGUGUUGGGGAUUGACCUUUGUAAUUAUCGGUCAUGAACGAGGAAUUCCUAGUAAGCGCAAGUCAUCAGCUUGCGUUGAUUACGUCCCUGCCCUUUGUACACACCGCCCGU
rnacentral:rRNA from 1 species